GAAAUGCGAUAAGUAAUGUGAAUUGCAGAAUUCAGUGAAUCAUCGAAUCUUUGAACGCACAUUGCGCCCGCCAGUAUUCUGGCGGGCAUGCCUGUUCGAGCGUCAUUUCAACCAUCAAGCCCCCGGGCUUGUGUUGGGGCCCUGCGGCUGCCGCAGGCCCCGAAAACCAGUGGCGGGCUCGCUGUCACACCGGGCGUAGUAGAUUUUUCGUCUCGCCCAGGGCGUGCUGCGGGUUCCGGCCGUUAAAAAGCCUCUCUUUUAACCCAAGGUUGACCUCGGAUCAGGUAGGAAGACCCGCUGAACUUAAGC
rnacentral:misc_RNA from 1 species